GUUAAAUUUAUUUGUUAGUUCAUACUUACAUAAUUGUAAAACAUAACCCAUGUGGUAAGGACACUGAUUAACUUAUUUUGCCAUUAAAAAAGCAACUAAUGCAAUCGUCAAAUUUUGAGCUUUAUGUUAUUUCAUUCUAGGUGCCAAGCUUUAUGGUAGGUUAGAGACGCAACGGUUGCUGAUGUAAGUGUCGUCCUCUCUCUCAGUGGUGAAGGUUGGCUUGUGAAAACACCAUCUCCCAUUUGCACCCAUCAGGUUGGCUUAUGAUUGGUGGCCCACAUGGUGAUGCAAGUCUAACCACUUUAUUCAUUGCGAUUUGGGAGGAAGGCUUCAAAUUCCUACACACGAAUUACAAUCUUUCACCUCUUGAUUCUUUUCAAGAUUUGACUACUGUUGACUUCAAUUUGUGAUUAGUUGUUGCGAAGUUUAUGAUGAUUAGUGAAGUUCUAUGGAUAUUGAGUGAGAUUUGUGUUCAUUUGAUGAAUUUGAUGAUUAUUUACUUCAGUUCUACAUCUAGAGAUUGAGUGCACGAAAAACCCGAAAUUCCAUUCGGUUUCUGUGGUGGCAAUCUGAAGAUUUCAAAUCCGUUUCUCAAUUGCCAUUUCUUUCAUUCAACAUUUUGAACAAUUUUGAUGGAUUCUUUUAUAUGGUUCAGGUAUAAUUCGAAUCACCCCUGAUGUUAUAUGAUUAUGUUUGCUUUUUUCUCUUCAUGUAAUGUUAUGAUUUCAAUUAAUAUUUAAGUAAAAUAAAGUGACCUAUUGAGUUCUUUUGCUAGAUUUGAUUUCCCUUUUCACGGCUAAGGAAAGAAUAUUGUUAACCAAAUGUGAGACAGGAUAAAUAAUUUGAAGUUUAAAACUAAACAAGUGUUCCAACUUUACUUUUCUACUGGAAGUAGGUUUUUUUGUGUUAUAUCUCUGCAUUUGUAAACUAGAUUUUACAGC